CACACACACACACACACACACAUCCCUAGCUUAGGGUCCCUCUAUUUGGCAUGGACUCAUUUUCUGCCAGGAAUGCAUAUCUUCCUUGCAGGCUGAGGCACUAUAUGGACUGUACUAAAAACACUCAACCCACUGAUUCUGGUGAAAUUAUUUUGGAGUGACAGGGAUAGGCAGGGGCUUUCCUGGGCUCAGGACUCUAGCUGGGGAGUGGCAAAAGCCACAGUGCAACUCAACUCAGGAGAAAAUAAAUGCCUGGAAAUUUGAGCCAGCUGUUUUUUUCUUACUCACCAAAGUGCAUUGAGUCAACCCUUAAUCUUUUGUCAAUAUUUGCGGACUGAAAACACGACAAACCACCCCCUGUGCCGCUCAGAGUGUAGACACUGACUGAUGGGACCAGGUACAAAAUCCCCUGGGACAAAACAGAACUUUCAUAACUGGCUGUAGAGUUAUUGUUUUUGCCUUUUGGAAGCUUCCACCUUGUGACGGGAAGAGCACUGUCAGCCCAACACAGAAACUCUGCCGCCUGGAGUCACGUGGAUCCAGAUGCGAAGGGACUCCAACGUCAUGCUAAGGAGUUUGGGCUAAGAAUUUGUACAGCCAUAUUACAGAUUUGGAAAAUGAUGUGAAGAGAAGCUAAGGGAUUUGCCACUGCCACUCAGCUGCCAAGGAUCAGAGGCAGGAUUCUAACAUUACUUCUACUUCUCAACGUCCAUCCUCCAACCAUUGUCCAGUGAUUCAGGCAGAAUUCCCUCCUGCUCAGGAGGUGAGUCGACCCAGUAGUGCCACUGGCUCUGCAACAGGAAUUGGUUAGCAGGGCUUUGCAUCUCCUUGGCCACAGACGUUGGGCAGGUGUGGAAAAAGGCCAUCAGCUAGAUGCUCAAGAUUGAAUUCUGAGAUUGUGGGGGUGAUGCUCUUGCUCUCAUCCCUGUCUGCAGGUAGCCAUCCUGUGACCCUGGAAGAAACCAGCCCAAGGAAGGUGCUAACCUACAGAAGAAGGACAUGGCCAGGGUAAUCACAUAGACCCGGAGUUGAAGCCCUGACUGCACCACACCCGAAGCCUCCCCACCUUUCAACCUCUCGGUGAUGGUGAACCAAUAAACUCUUUUUAUUGUUCAA
rnacentral:lncRNA from 1 species